CGGGGCGUAGCUCAGAUUGGUUAGAGUGCUAGACUGGGGGUCUAGAGGUCGCUGGUUCGAGUCCAGUCGCCCCGA
rnacentral:tRNA from 1 species